UUAGUGAGAUGUACAAUGACCAUGCUGCUGAUCCGCUUGUCUUACACAGGACCAGUUCUUACACAGGACCAGUUCUUACACAGGACCAGGUCUUACACAGGACCAGUUCUUACACAGGACCAGGUCUUACACAGGACCAGUUCUUACACAGGACCAGGUCUUACACAGGACCAGGUCUUACACAGGACCAGGUCUUACACAGGACCAGUUCUUACACAGGACCAGGUCUUACACAGGACCAGGUCUUACACAGGACCAGGUCUUACACAGGACCAGGUCUUACACAGGACCAGGUCUUACACAGGACCAGUUCUUACACAGGGCCUGGUCUUACACAGGACCAGGUCUUACACAGGACCAGUUCUUACACAGGACCAGUUCUUACACAGGGCCUGGUCUUACACAGGACCAGGUCUUACACAGGACCAGGUCUUACACAGGACCAGUUCUUACACAGGACCUGGUCUUACACAGGACCAGGUCUUACACAGGAUCAAGUCUUACACAGGACCAGGUCUUACACAGGACCAGGUCUUACACAGGAUCAAGUCUUUCACGGGACCAGGUCUUACACAGGAUCAGGUCUGAUAUUGUUGGUUGACCAUGACACGCUGCCUGGAAUUG